UACGUAGGGCGCGAGCGUUGUCCGGAAUUAUUGGGCGUAAAGAGCUCGUAGGCGGCUUGUCGCGUCGGAUGUGAAAGCCCGGGGCUUAACCCCGGGUCUGCAUUCGAUACGGGCAGGCUAGAGUUCGGUAGGGGAGAUCGGAAUUCCUGGUGUAGCGGUGAAAUGCGCAGAUAUCAGGAGGAACACCGGUGGCGAAGGCGGAUCUCUGGGCCGAUACUGACGCUGAGGAGCGAAAGCGUGGGGAGCGAACAGG
rnacentral:rRNA from 1 species